GCAAGGGCCGGGUCAAGGGUCGGGUCUUGGAGCGGUUUUUCGAUUACCUAUGCAGGAGAACCCGAUACAGCUGCAAAGUAGGGCAGGUAGCCAGGUACGGCCAAUCUCCUCCUGCAGAUUGCAAUCUUCUGCAAUCUUCCCUCUACCGCAUUUGCCCCUCUCCUUGAGCUUGAAUAUCUGAGAUUGGUUGAUGAUGUUUGCUAUAAAAAUUGGAUCGAGUUUCAUACCCUGGCACACUUGGAUCGGAUAAUUCUACUACGCUUCCUGAUCCGUCGCUCCGGCAGCGGUCACUCGGCGCCGGAUGAACGUCUCCGCCGAGACCCUCUUUUCUGACCCCUAAGGUGUUCGACUAUUUCUCCAAACCAACCGUCCGCGUCGAACACCAAGCAGGUGCAGAAGCUCACUGGGUCCAAGAAUGUGAGGAUUAAGACCCAGCUUGACCCGAGUUUAGUGGCUAUAAGAAUUGAAUCCGGAGAAAGAGAAAUAGUAGCUGAUUCUUCAUCAAAGGAAAAUAAAGCAUAAGAUGAAAAAAGGAAUGAUUUUAUGCCAGUUUGGUGUAGUUGGAAAGCAACAUGCUCACAGGAGAGAUGCCUCCAAGACUUGGCAAGCAGCUAGGACCAGAAUUAUUGUUUGGAAGAAACCAUUCUGUUCAAUUUAAUUGGUUGGAACUUUACAUAGGUUCUUGAAGGAUCACCCAGAGUUCCUCUUUCACGAUUCUCAUUACAAUACCAAAGUGAAUAGCUGUAUGAAAUGAAUAUUUUAAAUACGAACAGUAUUGAAUUUUCGUCACCUUCUCUGGCAGGUACAAUAAGCUAUGCAACUUUAUGAGGAGAUGAAACAUUUGUUGUGGAUCCUCCAAUUACCCUCUGGAUUUUGAAAUGGAUGCUUGACUGAGAUCUAUGUUUUGAGAGCUCCCAAUCACAACACCACUUGAAUGAGCUGUCUGUGAAUUGAAGGAGAAGAAGAAAUUAGCAUCAGCAAGAAGUAGCAUGUUGAAUUGAAGGAGAUGGAACUAGCAUCACAAGAAGGAAUUGAAGGAGGAUUAGAAAUUAGUAUCAGCAAGAAGUAGCAUGUGGAAUUGAAGGAGAUGGAAGUAGCAUCACAAGAAGUAAUUGAGCAGUUUUCGUUUGAGAGAGAAUGGAAAAAAUGAAGAAAUGUGAGCCAAGUAUAUAUUUGUACUCAUUUAUCUUUAUGUAAAAAACACAAUUAAUUGAUCAUUUUUCCCUUUAUUUUGUAUUAAAAUCCCAUUAUCUGUACUUUGGAGCAUUUUUUUUCCAGCUCCCACAAACGGUUGCUUGAUUUUAAAUAAAAAUGUAUGCUUCAUGAAA